GGAGGGGGCAAGCGUUAUUCGGAAUUAUUGGGCGUAAAGGGCGCGUAGGCGGCUUGGCAAGUCAAUGGUGAAAUCCCUCGGCCCAACCGAGGAACUGCCUUUGAAACUGCCAGGCUCGAGGCCGGGAGAGGGCAGUGGAAUUCCUAGUGUAGCGGUGAAAUGCGUAGAUAUUAGGAGGAACACCAGUGGCGAAGGCGGCUGCCUGGACCGGUUCUGACGCUGAGGCGCGAAAGCGUGGGGAGCAAACAGGAUUAGAUACCCUGGUAGUCCACGCUGUAAACGAUGGGUACUCGGUGCCCGCGGGUAUCGACCCCCCUGCGGUGCCUUAGCUAACGCGUUAAGUACCCCCGCCUGGGGAGUACGGUCGCAAGGCUG
rnacentral:rRNA from 1 species